rnacentral:rRNA from 1 species
UACGUAGGGUGCAAGCGUUUAAUCGGAAUUACUGGGCGUAAAGCGUGCGUAGGUGGUUUGUUAAGUCUGUUGUGAAAGCCCCGGGCUCAACCUGGGAAUGGCAAUGGAUACUGGCAAGCUAGAGUGCGGUAGAGGGUAGUGGAAUUCCCGGUGUAGCGGUGAAAUGCGUAGAGAUCGGGAGGAACACCAGUGGCGAAGGCGGCUUCCUGGUCCAACACUGACACUGAGGUGCGGAAAGCCGUGGGGAGCAAACAGG